rnacentral:rRNA from 1 species
GACGAACGCUGGCGGCGUGCUUAACACAUGCAAGUCGAACGGUGAAGGGACCGGUUUUUGCUGGUUCUGGAUGAGUGGCGAACGGGUGAGUAACACGUGAGUAACCUGCCCCCUUCUUCUGGAUAACCGCAUGAAAGUGUGGCUAAUACGGGAUAUUCUGCGCCUGCUGCAUGGUGGGUGUGGGAAAGAUAUUGUUUCGGUGGGGGAUGGGCUCGCGGCCUAUCAGCUUGCUGGUGGGGUGAUGGCCUACCAAGGCGGUGACGGGUAGCCGGCCUGAGAGGGUGGACGGUCGAACUGGGACUGAGACACGGCCCAGACUCCUACGGGAGGCAGCAGUGGGGAAUAUUGCACAAUGGGCGCAAGCCUGAUGCAGCGACGCCGCGUGAGGGAUGGAGGCCUGCGGGUUGUAAACCUCUUUCGCCAGUGAAGCAGGCCUGUCCCUUUUGUGGGUGGGUUGACGGUAGCUGGAUAAGAAGCGCCGGCUAACUACGUG